rnacentral:rRNA from 1 species
CAAUAGCGUAUAUUAAAGUUGUUGCAGUUAAAAAGCUCGUAGUUGGAUUUCUGGAGGGAGCGUCGGCCCGUAUUUACGAGUGCGUGACGUCUCUGUCCAUCCUUGCGGGAAGGCACGGCAUUGAUUUGUUGUGUCGGAUCGCAUCAUUUACUGUGAAAAAAUUAGAGUGUUCAAAGCAGGCUUUCGCUUGAAUACAUUAGCAUGGAAUAAUAAGAUAGGACUUUGGUGCUAUUUUGUUGGUUGAGCCUAAAGUAAUGAUUAAUAGGGAUAGUUGGGGGCACCUGUAUUGCGUUGUCAGAGGUGAAAUUCUUGGAUUUACGCAAGACAAACAGCUGCGAAAGCGUCUGCCAAGGAUGUUUUCAUUAA